AACGAACGCUGGCGGCGUGCCUAACACAUGCAAGUCGCGCGAGAAAGUUCCUUCGGGAGCGAGUAAAGCGGCGCACGGGUGAGUAACACGUAGGUAACCUGCCCCCCAGUCUGGAACAACUAGAGGAAACUCUAGCUAAUGCCGGAUGAGACCACGAUCCCUUCGGGGGGUUGCGGCCAAAGAUGGCCUCUACUUGUAAGCUAUCGCUGAGGGAUGGGCCUGCGGGCCAUUAGCUUGUUGGUGAGGUAGCGGCUCACCAAGGCUGUGAUGGCUAGCUGGUCUGAGAGGAUGACCAGCCACACUGGGACUGAGACAC
rnacentral:rRNA from 1 species